rnacentral:rRNA from 1 species
UACAGAGGUCUCAAGCGUUGUUCGGAUUCAUUGGGCGUAAAGGGCGCGUAGGCUGCGGGGCAAGUCGGGUGUGAAAUCUCAGGGCUCAACCCUGAAACUGCACUCGAUACUGCUCUGCUUGAGGACUGGAGAGGAGACUGGAAUUCACGGUGUAGCAGUGAAAUGCGUAGAUAUCGUGAGGAAGACCAGUGGCGAAGGCGGCUCACUGGCCCGGAACUGACGCUGAGACGCGAAAGCGUGGGGAGCAACAGG